rnacentral:rRNA from 1 species
AUUGAACGCUGGCGGCAUGCCUUACACAUGCGAGUCGAACGGUAACAGGUCUUCGGAUGCUGACGAGUGGCGAACGGGUGAGUAAUACAUCGGAACGUGCCUAGUAGUGGGGGAUAACUACUCGAAAGAGUGGCUAAUACCGCAUGAGAUCUACGGAUGAAAGCAGGGGAUCGCAAGACCUUGUGCUACUAGAGCGGCCGAUGGCAGAUUAGGUAGUUGGUGGGAUAAAAGCUUACCAAGCCGACGAUCUGUAGCUGGUCUGAGAGGACGCUCAGCCACACUGGGACUGAGACACGGCCCAGACUCCUACGGGAGGCAGCAGUGGGGAAUUUUGGACAAUGGGCGCAAGCCUGAUCCAGCAAUGCCGCGUGCAGGAUGAAGGCCUUCGGGUUGUAAACUGCUUUUGUACGGAACGAAAAGCCCUGGGUUAAUACCCUGGGGUCAUGACGGUACCGUAAGAAUAAGCACCGGCUAACUACGUGCCAGCAGCCGCAGUAA